CACAUGCCACACACACACACGCGCGCGCAUAUAUACUCUGUAAAUUAUAAGAUUUACUUAUUCAUGGUAGAAUUAAUAAAUACCCAGUGAGCAUUAUUGAGAGGAGAAAUUCUUUAAGAGGACUUUUUUAAGACCUCAUUAAUUUUUCUUGAAAAUGAUAUCAAUAAGUUAUCUUUCUGCAAGAUAUCUUUUAAAAGAGCUCUUUAUGAUAUCGAUUUAUAGAUGUCUCUAAAGUCUUUAAAAAAGAGGUCUUAAAGAGAACUUUUAAAAGAUCUCAUUAAUUUUUCUUAAAAAUGAUAUCAGUAAGUUAUCUCUUGCAAGAUGUUUCUUAAAAAAUAUAACCUGGAUCUGUGAGACAUCCUAAAAAGUAAUAAUACUUUUAAUUGUGGAAGUUUCGUAGAUAUUUUGUGGAAGUUUUGUGAAAGUUUUUAGGAAUUGGCAAGGAGAGAAGAGAGGAAUAAUUAAAAACGAUAAAAGUUUUUAUAGAUGUACCAGUACAUUCCCAAAUAUGUAAUGAGACUAAUCAACAAGAAGAAAGAAUUAGAAAGAAAGAAUUUCAUAACAAAAUGUGUUGUAAAGCUUGCCAGAAUGACAUUAAGAAAAUAAUGCAAAUGUUAAUUACAAUCCAACAACUGUUGCUGAGUGAACAUCCUUCUUCCAUACAAGAGAAUACUACAAAUUUGAAUCUGCCAAUUGCAACACCUCGAGCGCUAGAAGAAUUUAAUAAAUUAAUAUCACAAGAUCGUGUAUCUUUGCUCUAAUAUAAAAAAAUAAUUUCCACUUUGGCAGGGAAGAAUGCAGAACAACAUGUACGAAAUGCAUUAAAAUGCACUUUGACUGACACUUUGGCUUAUCAAACGUCAUGGACAGGACAAAAAAAUACUAUCCAAACAAGAGGCAUGAAAUUUGUUGACAUCAUUAUAGCUAAUAUAAGCGGUAGAUUAUUGCACAGCAAAAAUCAAUUUUUGAAGGUUAUGCUAUGAUUGGCGUGUUUACAUGUACGCCAUGUGAGACGUAGUGAGAGUGGCACAUGAGACGUUUAUCAACUUUAUCACGCUUGCGCACGAUUAGCAUGUUCAUUGGUAAAAGCUAAAUUAUAACCAAAAUAGCUGCAAUUUGGCUGUAAUUUGUAUUCUAAAGCGAAAAUAAAAAGUAGCAUGACUAUCAAUUUUAUAUUACAGCUAGCAUGUAUCAGCGAUGGUUAAGCAAAUCCAUGCACGUUAUUUAUAAGACUCGAAAAUUAGUACUUAAGGCUCUGUGUGUAGUUCUGUAAUUAGCGUACUUAGAAAUUUGCGUUUGCGUUAAUAUUAUUAUUUGUAUAGUAUAAUUUGUAGUAAUUUACAGUUAUUAAUAAUAUACAUUAAUUUUUUUAUCUCAAUUUAAUAAGGCGAAGAUUCCAAGUUCAAUCCCAGUUGAAUAGAUAAUUUUUAAAAUUUUUUAAAC